rnacentral:rRNA from 1 species
AACGAACGCUGGCGGCAGGCUUAACACAUGCAAGUCGAACGCACCUUUCGGGGUGAGUGGCAGACGGGUGAGUAACGCGUGGGAAUCUACCCUUCUCUACGGGAUAGCUCCGGGAAACUGGAAUUAAUACCGUAUACGUCCUGAGGGAGAAAGAUUUAUCGGGGAAGGAUGAGCCCGCGUUGGAUUAGCUAGUUGGUGGGGUAAAGGCCUACCAAGGCGAAGAUCCAUAGCUGGUCUAAGAGGAUGAUCAGCCACAUUGGGACUGAGACACGGCCCAAACUCCUACGGGAGGCAGCAGUGGGGAAUAUUGGACAAUGGGCGCAAGCCUGAUCCAGCCAUGCCGCGUGAGUGAUGAAGGCCCUAGGGUUGUAAAGCUCUUUAAGUGGGGACGAUAAUGACGGUACCCACAGAAGAAGCCCCGGCUAACUUCGUG